rnacentral:tRNA from 1 species
GCCUGGCUAGCUCAGUUAGUAAAGCAUGUGACUCCUGAUCUCAGCGUCAUGAGUUUGAGCCCCAUGUUGGGCG